rnacentral:rRNA from 1 species
AUUACUGGGCGUAAGCGCGCGUAGGUGGCUUGAUAAGCCGGUUGUGAAAGCCCCGGGCUCAACCUGGGAACGGCAUCCGGAACUGUCAAGCUAGAGUGCAGGAGAGGAAGGUAGAAUUCCCGGUGUAGCGGUGAAAUGCGUAGAGAUCGGGAGGAAUACCAGUGGCGAAGGCGGCCUUCUGGACUGACACUGACACUGAGGUGCGAAAGCGUGGGUAGCAAACAGGAUUAGAUACCCUGGUAGUCCACGCCGUAAACGAUGUCGACCAGCCGUUGGGUGCCUAGCGCACUUUGUGGCGAAGUUAACGCGAUAAGUCGACCGCCUGGGGAGUACGGCCGCAAGGUUAAAACUCAAA